rnacentral:rRNA from 1 species
AUUGAACGCUGGCGGCAGGCCUAACACAUGCAAGUCGAACGGCAGCACAGAAGAGCUUGCUCUUUGGGUGGCGAGUGGCGGACGGGUGAGUAAUGUCUGGGAAACUGCCCGAUGGAGGGGGAUAACUACUGGAAACGGCAGCUAAUACCGCAUAACGUCGCGAGACCAAAGUGGGGGACCUUCGGGCCUCACACCAUCGGAUGUGCCCAGAUGGGAUUAGCUAGGAGGUGGGGUGAUGGCUCACCUAGGCGACGAUCCCUAGCUGGUCUGAGAGGAUGACCAGCCACACUGGAACUGAGACACGGUCCAGGCUCCGGCGGGAGGCAGCGGUGGGGAAUAUGGCACAAGGGGCGCAAGCCGGAUGCAGCCAUGCCGCGUGUAUGAAGGAGGCCUUCGGGUUGUAAAGUACUUUCGGCGGGGAGGAAGGCGGUGAGGUUAAUAACCUCGCAGAUUGACGUUACCCGCAGAAGAAGCACCGGCUAACUCCGUGCCAGCCGCCGCCGUAA